rnacentral:rRNA from 1 species
CUAUACUGCAGUCGAGGGGUAAUUCCGCUUUCGGGCGGGAACGACCGGCGCACGGGUGCGUAACGCGUAUGCAACCUACCCACAACAGGGGGAUAGCCCGGAGAAAUCCGGAUUAAUACCCCAUAAUGCAGGGGUAUCGCAUGGUACUAUUUGUUAAAGAUUUAUCGGUUGUGGAUGGGCAUGCGUCUGAUUAGUUAGUUGGUGAGGUAACGGCUCACCAAGGCGGCGAUCAGUAGGGGGUCUGAGAGGAUGAUCCCCCACACUGGUACUGAGAUACGGACCAGACUCCUACGGGAGGCAGCAGUAGGGAAUAUUGGUCAAUGGGCGGAAGCCUGAACCAGCCAUGCCGCGUGCAGGAUGACGGCCUUCUGGGUUGUAAACUGCUUUUAUACAGGAAGAAAACGGUCAUGCGUGACAGAUUGACGGUACUAUAUGAAUAAGCACCGGCUAACUCCGUGCCAGCAGCCGCGGUAAUACGGAGGGUGCAAGCGUUGUCCGGAUUUAUUGGGUUUAAAGGGUGCGUAGGCGGAUUAUUAAGUCAGUGGUGAAAGUUUGCGGCUCAACCGUAAAAGUGCCAUUGAAACUGGUAGUCUUGAGUACAGUAGAGGUAGGCGGAAUUUAUGGUGUAGCGGUGAAAUGCAUAGAUACCAUAAAGAACACCGAUAGCGAAGGCAGCUUACUAUGCUGUAACUGACGCUGAGGCACGAAAGCGUGGGGAGCCUAUACUGCACUAUACUGCACUAUACUGCACUAUACUGCAUGA